GGCUGAGUAGCUCAGUUGGCAGAGCAGGAGAAUCAUAAUCUCUUGGUCGUGGGUUCAAAUCCCUCCUCAGCCA
rnacentral:tRNA from 1 species